rnacentral:rRNA from 1 species
UGGGGAAUUUUGGACAAUGGGCGCAAGCCUGAUCCAGCAAUGCCGCGUGCAGGAUGAAGGCCUUCGGGUUGUAAACUGCUUUUGUACGGAGCGAAAAGGCUUCCACUAAUACUGGGGGCUCAUGACGGUACCGUAAGAAUAAGCACCGGCUAACUACGUGCCAGCAGCCGCGGUAAUACGUAGGGUGCAAGCGUUAAUCGGAAUUACUGGGCGUAAAGCGUGCGCAGGCGGUCUUGUAAGACAGGUGUGAAAUCCCCGGGCUUAACCUGGGAACUGCACUUGUGACUGCAAGGCUGGAGUACGGCAGAGGGGGAUGGAAUUCCGCGUGUAGCAGUGAAAUGCGUAGAUAUGCGGAGGAACACCGAUGGCGAAGGCAAUCCCCUGGGCCUGUACUGACGCUCAUGCACGAAAGCGUGGGGAGCAAACAGGAUUAGAUACCCCCGUAGUCC